GGCCCUGACCAUCGGUCAGGCGGCCGUCGUCGAGCACCUGCAGCAGCACGUUGAACACAUCAGGAUGCGCCUUCUCGAUCUCGUCGAACAGCACCACCUGGUACGGCCUGCGCCGCACCGCUUCGGUGAGCGCGCCNCUUCGGUGAGCGCACCGCCCUCGUCAUAGCCGACAUAGCCCGGAGGCGCGCCGAUCAGCCGGGCAACGGAGUGCUUCUCCAUGUAUUCGGACAUGUCCAUGCGCACCAGCGCCGUCUCGUCGUCGAACAGAUAUUCGGCGAGCGCCUUUGUCAGUUCGGUC
rnacentral:misc_RNA from 1 species